rnacentral:rRNA from 1 species
UACGUAGGGUGCAAGCGUUGUCCGGAAUUAUUGGGCGUAAAGAGCUCGUAGGCGGUUUGUCGCGUCGGCUGUGAAAACUCGGGGCUCAACCCCGAGCCUGCAGUCGAUACGGGCAGACUAGAGUGCUGUAGGGGAGACUGGAAUUCCUGGUGUAGCGGUGAAAUGCGCAGAUAUCAGGAGGAACACCGGUGGCGAAGGCGGGUCUCUGGGCAGUAACUGACGCUGAGACGCGAAAGCGUGGGGAGCGAACAGG